GGUUUAAUGAAGGGGAUAUUAAAUUGUACCUGCCCAAUGAUUUAUAAUAAUUUAAUGGCCGCAGUAAUUUGACUGUGCAAAGGUAGCAUAAUCAUUUGUUUCUUAAUUAGAGACUGGAAUGAAUGGUUUGACGUAAAAAUAACUUUAUUAAUAAUUUUAUUAAAAAUUAAUUUUUAUGUAAAAAAGCAUAAAUUAAGCUAAGGGACGAAAAGACCCCAUCAAGUUUUAUAUAUUAGUUUAGUAUAUUAAUUAUAUUUCUUUAUAUAUUUAAUUAUAUAUUUUACUGGGGCGGUAAAAAUAGAUUAUCUUUUUUUAAUAAAAAUGAAUUUUAUUUUAUUUAUAAUCCUUAUUACAGAAUAGCAAUAAAUUACUGUGGGGGUAACAGCGUUAUUUUUUUGUAAAGUUCUUAUUAAUAAAAAAGAUUGCGACCUCGAUGUUGGAUUAAAAUUUUCUAUUAUAGUGAAGAGGCUUAAUUAGAUAGUCUGUUCGACUAUUAAAUGUUUACA
rnacentral:rRNA from 1 species